rnacentral:tRNA from 1 species
UCCAAUGUGGUGUAGUGGUUAACAUUGCUGUCUUUCAUUCUCUACAUAUCACAGCAGCCCGGGGUUCGAUUCCCCGCAUUGGAA